UACGAAGGGGCUAGCGUUGCUCGGAAUCACUGGGCGUAAAGGGCGCGUAGGCGGUCUCUUAAGCGUGUGGUGAAAGCCCGGGGCUCAACUCCGGGUCGGCCGUGCGAACUGGGGGACUGGAGCUUGUCAGAGGCAGGCGGAAGUUCCGGGUGUGAGCGGUGGAAUGCGUAGAGAUCCGGAAGAACACCGGUGGCGAAGGCGGCCUGCUGGGACAGUGCUGACGCUGAGGCGCGACAGCG
rnacentral:rRNA from 1 species